GGGNAUUGCGCAUGNCGUGAANCCUGNCGCAGCAACGCCGCGUGGACGAUGAAGUUCUUAGGAAUGUAAAGUCCUUUUGUAGAGGAAGAAAGUCUCGCUAUGUGAGAGUGACGGUACUCUGCGAAUAAGCCACGGCUAACUCUGUGCCAGCAGCCGCGGUGAUACAGGGGUGGCAAGCGUUGUCCGGAUUUACNUGGGUGUAAAGGGUGCGUAGGCGGACUGAUAAGUCGGGGGUUAAAGCUUCUCGCUUAACGAGAAAUCGGCUUCCGAUACUGUCAGUCUGGAGUUUUGGAGAGGAAGAUGGAAUUUCCGGUGUAGCGGUGGAAUGUGUAGAGAUCGGAAAGAACACCAGUUGCGAAGGCAGUCUUCUGGCCAAAAACUGACGCUCAUGCACGAAAGCGUGGGGAGCAAACAGGAUUAGAUACCCUGGUAGUCCACGCCCUAAACUAUGGAUACUAGAUGUUGGUCCUCGGAUCAGUGUCGCAGCUAACGCAUUAAGUAUCCCACCUGGGAAGUACGCUCGCAAGGGUGAAACUCAAAGAAAUUGACGGA
rnacentral:rRNA from 1 species